rnacentral:rRNA from 1 species
AUUGAACGCUGGCGGCAGGCCUAACACAUGCAAGUCGAGCGGCAGCGGGAAAGUAGCUUGCUACUUUUGCCGGCGAGCGGCGGACGGGUGAGUAAUGCCUGGGAAAUUGCCCAGUCGAGGGGGAUAACAGUUGGAAACGACUGCUAAUACCGCAUACGCCCUACGGGGGAAAGCAGGGGACCUUCUGGCCUUGCGCGAUUGGAUAUGCCCAGGUGGGAUUAGCUAGUUGGUGAGGUAAUGGCUCACCAAGGCGACGAUCCCUAGCUGGUCUGAGAGGAUGAUCAGCCACACUGGAACUGAGACACGGUCCAGACUCCUACGGGAGGCAGCAGUGGGGAAUAUUGUACAAUGGGGGAAACCCUGAUGCAGCCAUGCCGCGUGUGUGAAGAAGGCCUUCGGGUUGUAAAGCACUUUCAGCGAGGAGGAAAGGUCAGUAGCUAAUAUCUGCUGACUGUGACGUUACUCGCAGAAGAAGCACCGGCUAACUCCGUGCCAGCCGCCGCAGUAACAC